rnacentral:lncRNA from 1 species
UUUUUUUUUUUUUUUUUUUUUUUUUUUUGCUUUUUAGGGCCACACCCGUGGCAUGUGGAGGUUCCCUGGAUAGGGGUUGAGUCGGAGCUACAGCUGCCAGCCUAUGUUUGCGACGUAUACCACAGCUCACGGCAAUGCCAGAUCCUUAACCCACUGAGCGAGGCCAGGGAUCAAACCCGCAACCUCAUGGUUCCUAGUUGGAUUCGUUUCCGCUGCACCAUGACGAGAACUCCCCGUUUUAGUUUCUUAAGGCAGAAUCACCAAACGGUUAAGAGCCUGUGCUUUAGAAUUAGGUCUAGUUCAAAUCUCCCUCAAGCUUCAGGAAUCUCUCUUUGCACGGUUAUAGUUAGGAAUAGGAGAAGGUAUUUAAAGUACCUGGCACAUAGAGGGGAAUCGAAAAAUGUGGUUUAAAGAAGAUCACAGGAUCUGGUAAAUAACACUCCCAAGUUCAGUGGUUGAGGUUCAGAGCCUUUCUGCUCUCCGGGUUGUCGGGAGACGUUGCCUUGGUGGCCUUCCUCUCUGGCUUGAGAUUCAGUAUUAACCUCUAUCCUACAAGGUCUUCUGUUACCCCAGUUCCAAGACUGCUGCUGGCCAAGUGCGGAAGAAGCGUCUUAAAGACCAGCAUGGUCCCCAGGCUCGCUGCUUCAGCAUCACCUGGGAACCCGUUAGAAAUGCACAAGCCCCCCCAAAAGGGGGCCAUUCAGAAGGUGGCCUUAUCUAAACUCACUCAGCCGGAAGAUGGCUUUGUUUUAUUUUCUGUGUUGGGGUAAACAUCUCCUUUAAACUCUGGGCUGUCCCAGGCCCAGAUGUCAUACGUAUGCCAUUUUAUAUACCCUUGUGCAGGUGCCUUGGUGCCCAACAGUAAACUCGAGAAACACUCACUUUGGGCAAAGCUUCUUACCUUUAGCAUUCUCUUAAAAUAUAUAUAACAACUCAUCAGUACCUUCUUGUAAAUUAAUUUAUCACAUUUUUCUUUAACUUGAGGGGUCCAGGGCUGGCAAAGGCCUGAGACAUGGGUCUGCUUGAGCCCAGCCUGGCAAAGUGGCUCAGGGCUGAGGGGAGCCUGGGGCUGGACUGAAGCUCCUUGGAAGGGUCUCAGGGAGCAUAGAGUUGAAGAGAGGUUGUGGGGAGAGGAGGGAGUGGUAAGAGACUCUGGCUGAUGCUGAGCCCUGCGGGCGGGUUGGGAAAACCCGUCAGAGGCUAGGAAAGCAGUCAGGCCCGGGAGCAGGUUUGGGACGUGGUGGGGUCAGGGAAUAAAGGGCCCUAUUGUGCCAGGGAAGCUCGCAGGGGCCCGAGAUGGGCUGGAGUCAGCAGAGGGGGUGUGUGUGUGGUGCUGGGUGAAAGACCCCGAAUGACCUCAUGGUGCGAAGGGGUCAGAGAGCAGCUGCCUGGCUGAUGGCCCCACCCGUCCUUGGCCACUGGUCAGGCCUCCUGGGUGUGGCGGGAAGUGCCCAGCCAGAGAACUGUGGUGGUCUCCUGUGCUAUCCAAGCCUUUUCACCCUGAGGGCAGCUUGGGGAGGGGGGGCAGAGGGCAGUAUCAACAAAGGGAAGGGACUCUGACACAGCCCGGGUGUGGGCAAGGUGAAAGCAUCUUGCUGAUUUUAUAUGUGAGGAAACCGUAGCCCAGAUAGACUUGGUAACUGAUGGAGCAGCAUCGAGGGGGAGGGACCAUAGGCUUGAAGAUCUUGUGAGCUGCAUUCCCUGAGUGCCAUCCUGGGGCAGAGACAGCUGGAGCUGAGGGCUACCCUCGGCCCCCAGCUGGAGGCGUAUCAUAGUUUGCUCUCAUCUUGGGCUGUCCUCCCACAGUCUCCCUUCACUGAGUCCCCUUCCCUCAGGGAUAACCCUUAGAAAUCUACUUAGAGACUGCUGGCCUGGGCUAGAACCAAAGUUCAGUGGGAAGAUGAGGCAUGGUUUCACGUAACAUUACUGCCUUAGGUUCCCUAAGCCAUCUCAUCUUGUGAUUGUCCUUAAAAGAUGAGGAUGUGAAAAUUCCUCCUCCAUCGCACCCCUGGGCAGCUCUGUAAUAGCUGCUUUUAGGUCCUCAGUGACAAGUGAGAAUCAGACCCUCUGCCUUGACUUCCGCAUGGUUACUGUACGGCUUGAAGAGGGUGAGAGAUGUGAAGAUGGUCUCAGGAAUUGAAAAAGUCAGAAGCAGGGGGUGUUGCUAGAUGCCUCCUCUGAAUCACAGCGCCCUUGGAGAGAUGUCUGCAGGACAUAGAAGGCCCUCCAGUGCGGGCGGCCCUGGCCUGUAUCUGGAAGGAAGCCUGUCCUAGAGUCAGCCCCAGACCUGAGUCCUGUGCCCUGGGAGAAGGGCCUGCCACUGGGAAGCAUGAAAAGGAAGGCCUUUCUCUACAAAUUAAUUUUAGGAGCCAUUGCUUCUUUACACCCGCAGACUCUCGACCCUGCCACAACCUUAAUGCGAAGCCUGCUUCUCAGCCCAGGGACAAACUGCACCCAGUUCUGGUAGCACAAGACGACAGGAGAGCUCCGAGUGAAGUCUAUACUGUGUGACCUUGGCCUAGGCCCUCACACUCUGAGCUACAGUUGUCAGAGCACUAAACUUCAUGUACCCACUCAAAACAUCUCUUCAGAGCCUUCUGUUUAUAAUAUGCUGGGCUAAGCUCUGGGAGGUGAAAAGGAACAGCAGACUUGGCUCCUGCUCGAAGAAGAUGAGCAUUUAGAAGCUGCAUGUAAGGAGUGUAAGCUUGGAGCUGAUGCAUUCCGUGCGCGAGUGAGAUGGGGUCCCUGGGGGUUUGGAAGAGGGCACUGAGCUGGGCUUUGCACGAUGGGCAGAAUGAAGUGAAUAGAGUGAGGAAGGGCAGUGUUUGCCCAAAAAGUCCUUCUCACUUUCUCUACUCCUGCCACGCAGUGUUUGUCACACCUAGUUCUCUCCACAGUCUCUCACGCCUCCAGGCCUUGGCCAUCUGAUUGGCUUUGAAAACUCAGCUCAAGCUUACUUGGCAGCCUUCCUUCCUCUGGGCUCUCGCAGCACCUUGAACGCAGCUCCCUCACUUCCCCGCCUUCUCACGCGCUCGUGCGCUCCCUUGGCACCACGAGAGGCUGGCCUGCUGGAGCGCAGCGCCUGGAAGGGGAAGCAGGGCUGGACAGGUGGGGGUGAGGGACCUUCGAUGUGAGACCGAGGAGGAGGAGGAGGUCGGGGCAGUGUGUUAGACGCAGGUCGUUGGUCAGGGCUGAGCUGGGAUGGUUGGGGAGCCUGUGGUAGCUGGUUCCAUGUCUUCAACAGCGAUGUUUUUCAGCUGUGUUACCAUCUCAACCCAACACGUGCUUCACAGACUAGAACUAGGCUGACGUGCAAUGCACUCUGAUAUUUACCAUUUUACUUCAUUUUUAAAAUGCUGGUCACCACCCACGGGUGCCCCAGCCUGCUUCUUGCUCCUUCCCUGGGGACUAGGGUGGGGGGGGCAGCUGCAUGUAGCCACAUGCAUCAGGGACUCAGCGUGGAAAGGAUGGGUCAGGGGAGGUAGCCACUUCCCUACCUGUUCUGCUGCAGACCAGGAUCCACGGGAGCCUCACAAGGUGGUGGGCAGUAACUGAGACCAGAGAAAACCUCAGCCUGCCUGUCCUUCCUGAAUUGGCAAGAGGAGGUCAGGGCCUCCCUCCCUCUUGAAGCUUCAGAUGACCUCUUGAAGAGGGAUGCAGAAGCUACCGGCCCACCCAGAGCUGUGGACCAGAGUAGGCCUUGACUCCUGGUUCACCCCGUCCUCAGAGGACCUGCAGCUCUAGGUUGGUUGGGACAGGGCCCUAGGUUGGGUAGAGCAGACAGGGUCACAUGACAUCCACCCGCCUCUGCCUGCCGGCACCAGCUGGGUGAGGCAGGAGAAGGUUCUGGGAACUGCAUCCCACCCCCUUGGAACCAGUUCUUUAGCUCAGCUCUAUUGCCCCCCUUGCUUGUAGCGCUGCCUCAGGCCAACCUCUGCCCCCUCUUUCUGACCUGCUCCUGAGUGGAGGCAGGAGCCAGCCAGCAUCCUGAGGCAUUGGUUUGCAAGCCCCCUGCUCUGAGCUUACUCCCAGGUCUUGCUGAUAACUGGGUGUUGCAGAGGUGACUCGGUGACUCGUCCAACUGGGAGGCCAUUUCCAGACCUAGAGGCAUGGAGCAGGUCUGCACAUCCUGCUUCCUGGGAGUCUCGUGAGGUAGUUCUGAUUCCCUGGGGAGGAAGAAGCUGGGCUUGGAGUCUCUUCAAAGGAAGUCUUCUGAUCCAGGCCUCAGGCUGAAAGUAAGUGGAUACAAACUCAGCCGCCCUUCUGGGAGUGAGAGACCCUUCUAGGUCCUCCAUCAACAGGGAGUAAGGGAAGAACCCAGCGGAAGGGGGCAGGAUUGUGUCUGGGAUAUAUUUGUGGCCAUGAUGGGGUAGACCAGCCAGUAGAAGACAGCCAGCCAUGAAAUGCCCCAGGAAUUUAAUGUGGAUGUGGGGGAAAUAGUUUUCAUAGGUCAACUGCCCCAAUAUCACACAGCCUGGAAGAUGUGGAGUCGAGGCUUGUGCCUUGGGUCUGUCUGAACCCCAAGCCUGCUGCCUUCUUUCCAUCAGUCCUCAGUGCUGCAGAUGAGGGGGUAGCCACAGGGACUCAAGAGAGCGGAUGGUCUGAGUGGAGAGCUGAGGGUUGGCGAUGCAGGAGCCCAGGGAGAAGGUAGAGGGGAUGGGACCCACCCAGGCCAGCACCGUGCCAGGCCAGACUUUCCUCCUGGCUUGGGAAGGUGCAGGGCGGGCAAGAUCUUAGCUGCCCUGGGGGCUCACACCUCCCUGUCUAGUUGCCUCAGGACUGACCAUGUCUUUCCUUUAGGUCCUCCUAUCCUAUCUGGCCAUCCAGUUGCAUUCUUCCUGCCUUGUGUUCGUCUUUCCUAAGCUUUUGUUCUAGGCCGGGAGUGUGCACGGGCUCUGCUCUCCUGGGCACCCCCUGGCUGAGAAGCUGCUGAGCCCCAGCACCUGGGAAGAGGAGACUAAUGCAAGAGGAACCCUAAGCACACCUGUGACCACGUUCUGCUGACAGCUGAUGCUGCACAGGAUCUUUAAAAGGUGGGGACUGGGCCGGACUCUCCACAGGGAGAACGGCCCAGAUGCGACCGGCUGUCUGCCCUGCGCGCUCAAGAGCUAAGACAGAUGGUGGCUGAGGACAUGGACCCGGACAAUCAGCAGAAUCCAGUGUGUAAGCCUGGCGCACUACAGCAGGAAUUCUCACCCUCGGCAGAAACCAGAACAGGGCCUCAGAGACUUGCGCAAACAUCUGUCCCUGCUGGCGCAGCACUUGCUCCUUAGCUCUUUUGGGGCAGUCUUCUCUGCCUGGAAGAUGGCAAAAUUGUGUUACCUUCCCCACUAAACAAAACUCUUCUAGGACUGUGACUCGGCUCAGCUUUGUUCCCCCAGCAGCUAGCCCAGGGCUAGCCACCAGUGGUUGUUGAUGUGUAAACGAAGAAAUGGAAGCAACUCCUGUGCACUGAGCACUCGGGGGGGGGGGGGGGGGGGGGGGGNGCUGGGCAAGUGAUGGACAUUCUGGACCCACGAGAUGCACAGGUGAUUUCAGGUAGUCAGCUUCUGCCCUGCUGGUGGGAGGGAGGCCUGAACUUACCUGGACUGGUAGAGAAGGGAACCCCAACUCUGUUCUAGAACCUGGAGGGCUCCUUGGGAGCCCUGCCUGAGUUCCCUGUCAGAGGCAGGGGGACUGCCUGAUGAGAACUAUGGCCAGCACAUCCAGAGAUCAGCAAGCAGGGAGGAGCAUGUAAGAUGACUUCGAGGAGAGAAGGUUUAGCCACUCAGGGAAAAAGAGAAGGCGCCUUAGCUCCGGAACCUCCUUGGAAGUAAUGCGAGGAAGGGAAGCCAAGAGGAUGGUCUCUGCAGCAGCCCCAACAUGGCCAGUAGCCUCCGAGCCACUGGGAUCCCAGGACAUGGAGAAGAUGUGCAUCAAAGGGCACUGAAGCAGCAGUCACCAAAAGGGACUUAGCUCUGUCAGAGCUGCCUAAGCUGGCUAUGGAGGGCCAGGGGUUUUGCUGGCCCGAUUACUAAUAACCAUUUUUUAGGGUGUGGAUAGUGGAGUCCCACAGUCUCUAGAUUGAUUUGCCAAGAAUCUCAGCACAGCAGAGAAGGAAAAAGCUAAGUGAGCAUCUGUGGCCCCCAUACCCCCAUUGCAGCCAUGAGGAAAGAUUCUGCAAGGCAAGGGUAGUAAAAAAAAAAAAAAAAAAAAAAAA